GCCUUCGUGGUGGAAGCAUACUCGACCUGUAAUCGAGAGGAUCGUGGUUCGAGUCCCGGUGAGGGCA
rnacentral:tRNA from 1 species